UAAAGCGUACGCAGGCGGACACGCAGGCAUCUUGUGAAAUCCCUCCGCUCAACGGAGGAACUGCAGGGUGAACCGCGUGUCUUGAGACAAGUAGGGGCUGUCGGAACGCUAGGUGGAGUGGUGAAAUGCGUUGAUAUCUAGCGGAACGCCNAAGGUGAAGACAGGCAGCUGGGCUUGUUCUGACGCUCAUGUACGAAAGCGUGGGGAGCGAACGGGAUUAGAUACCCCGGUAGUCCACGCCGUAAACGAUGUGCACUAGAUCGAGGGGGUUCUGACGCCGCUCUCGGUCGAAGCGAAAGUGUUAAGUGCACCGCCUGGGGAGUACGGUCUCAAGGCUAAAACUCAAAGGAAUUGACGGGGGCUCACACAAGCGGUGGAGCAUGUGGCUUAAUUCGAAGCAACGCGAAGAACCUUAUCCUGGGUUUGACAUGCACGGAUUAGCUUCCUGAAAGGGAAGUGACGCUCUUUGAGUGGAACGUGCACAGGUGCUGCAUGGCUGUCGUCAGCUCGUGCUGUGAAGUGUCGGGUUAAGUCCCUUAACGAGCGCAACCCCUAUCGCUAGUUGCCAGC
rnacentral:rRNA from 1 species